rnacentral:misc_RNA from 1 species
GAUGAAGAACGUAGUGAAAUGCGAUAAGUAAUGUGAAUUGCAGAAUUCAGUGAAUCAUCGAAUCUUUGAACGCACAUUGCGCCCGCCAGUAUUCUGGCGGGCAUGCCUGUCUGAGCGUCAUUUCAACCCUCAAGCAACUUCUGCUUGGUGUUGGGGAUCGGCCGUCAAACGCCGCCCCCGAAAUCUAUUGGCGAUCUCGCUGUAGCUUCCUAUGCGUAGUAGUAACAUCUCGCAUCUGGAGAGCGGCGCGGUCAUGCCGUAAAACACCCAACUUCUCAGGUUGACCUCAGAUCAGGUAGGAAUACCUGCUGAACUUAAGCAUAUCAAUAAGCGGAGGA